ensembl:snRNA U6 U6 spliceosomal RNA
GUGCUCACUUCGGCAGCACAUAUACUAAAAUUGGAAAGAUACAGAGAAGAUUAGCACAGCCCCUGCACAAGGAUAACACACAAAUACAUGAAGCAUUCCAUAUUUCU